GGGUAGUUUGUUGUGGCGUUGUUGAUCGGGGAAUAGCCCCGUUGCUGCGUGUGUAUCCACGGGUGUUUUACCGGUGGAAACCCUGAGCAUAUCCAGUUUGCAAGCUCAGGACCAUCUUGAUAAACACAAAUAGGUGUUGAAAUGACAGAACAAGGUGUCAAUGGUAUGAUGGCUUACUUGGAAAGACAAGAUGCUGAUGAAGAUAAAAUCAAAAUACCAUAUGGGGUUACAUCAGUUGGGAGAGGGCCAUUUCUUAAGUGCAAAGAAAAGAAAGUGUCAAGAAACCAUGGCCUCUUGGAGCUGUCACCAAAUGGACAGAUUUUCAUUACAUCAAUCCACAGUACGCCGCUGUUUGUGAGGGCAGGUGCUGCAGAAAAGCCCCGCCCCCUCAUUCAGAACCAGCGCGAGCAGCUGCACCCAGGCGACGAGUUUUGCCUUCUGUUGGAUGCCUUCUGCUACAAACUGUGCCAGCCAGCUGGAGCCGCCGGCACUGCCGCCGAUGAUGGCCAGGCAGCCGAGCAGGCCCAGGCGGCCGCGAGCACG